AAGCCGUUGCGAGAUUGCAAUGGGUACAAUUUAAAACACUUAACGAGUAACAAUUGGAGGGUAAGUCUGGUGCCAGCAGCUGCGGUAAUUCCAGCUCCAAUAGUGUAUAUUAAAGUUGUUGCAGUUAAAAAGCUCGUAGUCGAAGUUCUGGCUGGUCCUGUUUUCGGCUCCGGUCGACUCAGGACCUAGUCAUCCGUCGGAGAACCCUUGUCGUCCUUUAUUGGUCGCUUGGGGGAACUGACCCUUUACUUUGAAAAAAUUAGAGUGUUUCAGGCAGGCUCUCGCCCGAAUACUCCAGCAUGGAAUAAUGGAAUAGGACUUUCUUCUAUUUUGUUGGUUAUUAGUGGAAAGUAAUGAUUAAUAGGGACAGUUGGGGGCAUUCGUACUUAAUUGUCAGAGGUGAAAUUCUUGGAUUUAUUAAAGACGAACUAAUGCGAAAGCAUUUGCCAAGGAUGUUUUCAUUGAUCAAGAACGAAAGUUAGGGGAUCAAAGACGAUCAGAUACCGUCCUAGUCUUAACCAUAAACUAUACCGACUAGGGAUUGGCAGGGCCUUCUAAACCCUGUCAGCACCUCAUGAGAAAUCAAAGUUUUUGGGUUCUGGGGGGAGUAUGGUCGCAAGGCUGAAACUUAAAGGAAUUGACGGAAGGGCACCACCAGGAGUGGAGCCUGCGGCUUAAUUUGACCCAACACGGGGAAAUUUACCAGGUUCAGACAUAGGUAGGAUUGACAGAUUGAGAGCUCUUUCUUGAUUCUAUGGGUGGUGGUGCAUGGCCGUUCUUAGUUGGUGGAGUGAUUUGUCUGGUUAAUUCCGUUAACGAACGAGACCUUAACCUGCUAACUAGUCGCCUUUAUAAAUAGGGGUUGACUUCUUAGAGGGACUUUGUGUGUAAGCACAAGGAAGUUUGAGGCAAUAACAGGUCUGUGAUGCCCUUAGAUAUCCUGGGCCGCACGCGUGCUACACUGACACGUUCAAUAAGUUUUAUCCUGGCUCGGAAGAGUUCGGGUAACCUUUAUAAUACGUGUCGUGAUGGGGAUAGAUCUUUGGAAUUAUAGAUCUUGAAUGAGGAAUUCCUAGUAAGCAUAAGUCAUCAUCUUGUGCUGAUUACGUCCCUGCCCUUUGUACACACCGCCCGUCGCUCCUACCGAUUUUGAGUGGUCCGGUGAACCUUCUGGACCGCAACCGGGUUCAACCCGGGUGUGGGAAGUUAAGUAAACCUUAUCACUUAGAGGAAGGAGAAGUCGUAACAAGGUUUCCGUAGGUGAACCUGCGGAAG
rnacentral:rRNA from 1 species